GGGCGGAUAGCUCAGUCGGGAGAGCGCCGGUCUUACACGCCGGAGGUCGUAGGUUCGAUCCCUGCUCCGCCUA
rnacentral:tRNA from 1 species